UACGGGGGGGGCAAACGUUGUUCGGAAUUACUGGGCGUAAAGGGCUCGUAGGCGGCCAACUAAGUCGGAUGUGAAAUCCCCAAGCUUAACUUGGGAACUGCAUCCGAUACUGGAUGGCUUGAAUCCGGGAGAGGGAUGCAGAAUUCCAGGUGUAGCGGUGAAAUGCGUAGAUAUCUGGAGGAAUACCGGUGGCGAAGGCGGGUCUCUGGACAGUUCCUGACACUGAGGCACGAAGGCCAGGGGAGCAAACGGG
rnacentral:rRNA from 1 species